GUAACAAGGUCUCCGUUGGUGAACCAGCGGAGGGAUCAUUACCGAGUUUACAACUCCCAAACCCCUGUGAACAUACCACUUGUUGCCUCGGCGGAUCAGCCCGCUCCCGGUAAAACGGGACGGCCCGCCAGAGGACCCCUAAACUCUGUUUCUAUAUGUAACUUCUGAGUAAAACCAUAAAUAAAUCAAAACUUUCAACAACGGAUCUCUUGGUUCUGGCAUCGAUGAAGAACGCAGCAAAAUGCGAUAAGUAAUGUGAAUUGCAGAAUUCAGUGAAUCAUCGAAUCUUUGAACGCACAUUGCGCCCGCCAGUAUUCUGGCGGGCAUGCCUGUUCGAGCGUCAUUUCAACCCUCAAGCACAGCUUGGUGUUGGGACUCGCGUUAAUUCGCGUUCCCCAAAUUGAUUGGCGGUCACGUCGAGCUUCCAUAGCGUAGUAGUAAAACCCUCGUUACUGGUAAUCGUCGCGGCCACGCCGUUAAACCCCAACUUCUGAAUGUUGACCUCGGAUCAGGUAGGAAUACCCGCUGAACCUAAGCAUAUCA
rnacentral:misc_RNA from 2 species